rnacentral:rRNA from 1 species
CGGACGGGUGAGUAAUGUAUGGGGAUCUGCCUGAUGGCGGGGGAUAACUACUGGAAACGGUAGCUAAUACCGCAUAAUGUCUGCGGACCAAAGCGGGGGACCUUCGGGCCUCUUGCCAUCGGGUGUGCCCAGAUGGGAUUAGCUAGUAGGUGGGGUAACGGCUCACCUAGGCGACGAUCCCUAGCUGGUCUGAGAGGAUGACCAGCCACACUGGAACUGAGACACGGCCCAG